CAGAAAACCAGCUUCAUUCCACCACUUGCUGCUUCCCAGGCCCAACUUCACUCCUGACUUUUCUACCUGUCCCAUGACUGGCAGGAUGGGUGGGGAAUGGGACUUUAUGGUGAGUCCAUACCAGCCUCUGCUAUUCAUUCAGUAUUUUGAACUUCACGGAUGUCAGCAGUGCUCCUGUGAGUGAAAUGACCACAGGCAAGAGGACUAGGAAAUUUGGUAGACCUGGAAAAAUUCCUCUCAAAUAUAGAGAU